rnacentral:rRNA from 1 species
UGGGGAAUAUUGCGCAAUGGGGGCAACCCUGACGCAGCAACGUCGCGUGCGGGACGAAGGCCUUCGGGUUGUAAACCGCUUUCAGCAGGGAAGAACCAUGACGGUACCUGCAGAAGAAGCCCCGGCUAACUACGUGCC